UACGGUGGGGGCAAGCGUUGUUCGGAAUUACUGGGCGUAAAGGGCUCGUAGGUGGCCAACUAAGUCAGACGUGAAAUCCCUCAGCUUAACUGGGGAACUGCGUCUGAUACUGGAUGGCUUGAGAUUGGGAGAGGGAUGCGGAAUUCCAGGUGUAGCGGUGAAAUGCGUAGAUAUCUGGAGGAACACCGGUGGCGAAGGCGGCAUCCUGGACCAACACUGACACUGAGGAGCGAAAGCCAGGGGAGCAAACGGG
rnacentral:rRNA from 1 species